rnacentral:lncRNA from 1 species
AAAAGUGAGAAGAAGAUCUAGGAGGAAAAAUGCAGCCAAGUGCAAUGGACAAGAUGGUCAGAUGACAGCUUUGAGCACGCAAAUCCAUUCUGUAUUCUGCCCAGAGUGCCAGGGUACUGGUGCAAUCAUUGAUGGAGAUGACCUGGAGAAACCAAAUCUCCCUCUGUCUCAGGUUUGUACUUUGCAGGACAAUUUUUUAAUUGAAUCGUUGUCUUAUUAUUUAUACAUUUCCUUGCCUUUUUUAUUUUUCCUUAUUGGCCUUUUGUGUUGACUGAAGUAGUGGUUUCCCAAUUUGGGAGAAAAACAAUCAAGCACACGUUUUUAUUAUCAAUUUUUGGCAAGCAAAGUAGAGUUAUUAGUUUUUCAUGAUUGUGAUAGAGCAUGCUUAUGAUGAGUCUUGACUCAUCAUCGUGAGCACAUGCUUAUCAGAAAACUAUCUUCUGGUAUCACAGAGAGGUGUAGGCUGGGAAGAAAGAAACCUUAGCAAUAUGCUAUCUCUAAACCUUAGAUUCUUUGUUAAUAUCACAGAUGUUCAAGUAUAAGAUAAAGGUGAGUGAUGCACGUAGAGCAUGGAUGAAGAGUCCUGAAAUGUUGGCGAAUUGCUCGACAGGUUUUCAUUUCCCUUCCCAAUACGAAGAAGGAAUCCAAGUUUCUGUAGGUUUCUCCACCAGAUUUCCUUUUUAAUUGAGGAUAACAAUGAUCAUAACAAACUCAAGUUUGCCUUUGUGAUUUUGAUGCUAGGAAAAGGUGAAACCAUUAAAGUUGAUGCAUUUCUACAGGGCAGAUUAAUAGAGUUCGCUUCAAGAACACUGGGAACCAUGCGGUCGGUUGUUUUAGCUUCUCACCGUAGCACCUUCUUGUUGUAUGUUUCACUUCUAACGUGCACCUUCUUGUUGUAUGUGACUGGCUCAUGAGUAGGACUUUGGAGUGGACAGGCAUAGGUUGUAUGGGACUGUUAGCUAUUGUGGAUAGUUUGGAUUAGUUUGCUUGAUGAGAUAUAUUUGUACAUACCUGUUGCUAACACAGGUACAUAUAUGUUGUAUACAUUGCUGAUAUAUGUCUGCAUAAUGCAAUUAUUUAUGUAUAAAUGAAUGAUUUAUGUUGUAUACAUUGCUCGUAUGUUGAGGUCAAAGAUGCUUGCUCGGAGGACACAAUUGUCUUUUAAUAUUUUUUGUUUUUGUUUAUAUAUACAUCUUCCCAUGACCAUAUUUCAGAAAACUCAAUAAAACUACUACAAUCUCCAUUGCCCACAUGAAUCUUUAAGCGGGGACAAUUCCUAAACCCCAUGAGCUCCCCAUGACCAUAAUGAAUUGCCAAAGGGGAGCACCAAUUCUAUUAGCACUAUUAUUUCAUUGUAUGCAAGGGGCUUGUAGUUCAAGUGAUUAAUAGCAUUUACUCAUGCACUCGAAGCCCUGGUUUGAUUUUUUCAUUCUCCAAUAUCGCUUGUAUAGGGCUUCGAUUUUCCCUUUCUCUAAUAUCGCUUGUAUAGGGCUUCGAUUUUCCCUUUCUCUAAUAUCGCUUGUAUAUGAGAAAAUAUAUAUAUAUAUUUAUAUAUUUGUAUAUGCAUAUCCAAUAGUGACAAUUUUAAUACAAUCUCAAAAAGUAUCUUAACAAAUAAAUUUUGGUUUGGAUAAAAUUAACUUCAUUAUAAUACAAUCCUUAACAUUUUUAAGGGACAACUUAUUUUGUUUAAAAGUUGGGAUAACCUAACUCGAAACUCGGGACUCCAAACCCCAGAUAUGGGACUUUAGCCUCGGAGUUCUUCGGAUGUGGAAAUCAAACGCUAGGAGAUAAUAUCAUUGAAUUGGUUCAAAAAUUUUAUUUCUAUUUGAAGUCAUGAUACAAAAACGAUCAUAUCAUUCAAUCUAUGAAUAACAAUCCAAUCUAAUCAUAUGUGUUAAACCAUAGGCCAUAUUUUGGCAUUCUUAUCCAAGUAAUGCUACACUUAACACAUUAUUAUCCCACAUUUCUAUACCACAUGAUGUGGCAUGUCCAUAUUAUAUGCCACAUCAAUUAAAUCAAUGAAGUGCAUUUUAAUUAAGACAAUUAGAAAAACAAAAAUUGGAAUAAAUCAUAAAAGAAAAGAAAAUUAUUAAAUAAUUUUAAUUGAUGUGGUUGUGCAUCUCAGCUGCCACGUAAGAUGGUAUAAGGAUGUGGUAUACAAAUGUGGUAAGAGUAGCAUUAUUCUUCUUAUCCUCCACAUGAUCUACAUGUCAUGAUCUUUAGGACUGAUGGGCCAUUUCGAUAUGUUAUGAUUUCCAAGGGGUUGGGUUUUGCUGGCAAUUUUGCCCUGAAAAUAGGGUAUUUACUCAUGAUAAAGAAAAGAAGAGGAAAAAUUCAAUAAACAAUUUACAUAAAAGAUUGGGCUCAUUCUUCAAACUUGAAAGAAAAAAUUUGGCCCAUUGGCUGCACCGCAGAGGUUUAUUGCCCUUCUUUCUGACCACUGCUGAGCUUUUUCGUUUAUAUCCACUGAAAUCUUAAACCCUUAAACCUAAGCCACUUUUGUUGAUAGCUCAUACUAUCACUACGAGCCGAGCCUAUCUCGAACCGCCACGUAGCUAUAGCAGACUGGGUCACUUAUAUACCGACCCGAUCGUACAAGGGAUACCAUCACCAAUCUUCCUAGUCAGAACACAGCAGACUCAAAGAAGGGGCCAAUGCUCAAAUAACCAAGAACCUACCCGAGCACAGGGCUGGGCCUUCCGACCAGAGGUAUAUUACGAACUGAUAGACCCGACCAAGCUCCUGUCAGGUCCAUCACUUCGCCCCUAAAGCUAAACAGCCUGGCAAGCGAGAAGGGUUGAUUAAAUACACAUCUCAUCCCCAAAUAUGUGUUGCCCUGACCAUUGAUCUCCGAAUGAUCUGGUUGAUAAUGGAGAGAGAUCAUUUAAGGCACCUCCCAUCCUUGGCCGCUUGUCACUUCGCCACAUAACCUCUGACCAGCAACAUGGCAAGUGAAGACAGUACAUUAUAUAUAUAUAUCCUUCACCUACACCAGGACAAAGGUAAUAAAUCCCCUCAUUGUGAAAACCCUACAUCCAUUUUUUCUCCAGCCCAGAUUAGUUUCUGACUGAACCAUCAAAGAGGGUUAGACUGGGAUCAGUCUCAGUCCGCCCCUAUUCUGAUAUUGUUUGAAGUGUUCAGAGCUACCCUCGGACAUUAUACGGGCCCAAGUCCCCGGAGAGGGCCUAAGUAUCUGUACGAGAAGGAUACGCGGUUUACAUUGGCGCCGUCUAUGGGAAUCCACUUUAUUUGCGAACAGAAGCCGCAUCUCCUAACCUAUCCGAGCACCAACGUGAAUGAAACCAAGCUAUGUUAAGGAAUCAACACCUCAGAAAGAAAGCCUCCACGAGCGCGGCUGGGAGAAAUGCCCAGAGGCGAAAGAGAGAUAAGUUAAGAUCAGGUCGCCCGAGGGGCCUGGAGGAAAAGAUGAGCCGAAUUCUAAAAUGCGUUAAAGACGUACAGAAUCUUAGCAAAUGCCUCCGCGCGCAAAAUGAGAUACUGCAAGAGAAUCAUGCCGAGCUAGCGGACCAGGUGCGUGCGCAACAGGAACCCGAGCCGACCAACACUAAGGACACUGACGGAGCCUCGUCCUCGUCGACAGCGGCUAAAAUGCCAAGUAGAGCGUGGCCGACUCAAGAAGCAUACUGAAGGAAAAAAAAAGCCUGGUGAGAGCGCAACAAAAGCCUGGUGGGAAACCUUCGCAAAGGAAAAAAACAGGCCGGCUUUGAUGAAGCCGAGGAAGAGGUCGAUGGCAUCACCUCCAGGCUUAGAGACUUGGUCACUGGCGAGUUGAGAAGUGUGUGGGAUCGGCUUGGGCAAGUCGAGAAAUCCAAAAUGCCCAGAGGACCAGAGAUAACCGAAGAAGAGAUCCCGCUACCAUAUACCCAGGACUUGCUGGAUGCUCGGGUAGUUGGGGAUUCGAAGGCUCCGAAAAUCCCUUGUACGAUGGGAUGACCGACCCGUACGACCACCUGGAGCUGUUGAGAAGCAAGAGCUUCAGUCACUGGUUCGACUCUUGAAGGACUUCAGACGCUUCAAUCACGCUCUUGAGGUUCAAAUCUUUCUUACCGACUUCACAGUUUCUUUCCUUGUUUUAUUUUGGUUCUUUGCAACUCUUUUUUUUAUAUAUAUGUUUCUAUAGGUCAAUUCAACCAGUUAUCAAAAAGAUUGGAAUAUAUUAUCUUUUAUUUAUAAACCUACGUAGUUGGAUUGGUAUUUUGUUACUUUCAUCAGUUGCAUGUGAAUGUUGUGUUAUUCAGGUGUCUGCAAUGUAUUAUCGACAAUUUGAAAUUUAAAUGUAUGAACUGUUGACCAUUUUAGAAGCACAAGAUCCAAGCCUUGCUCUUUUAACAUUUCUUGCUUUGAAUUAACCAAUAUGCUGGUUCUCGUGGUUUGAAGUUGGUGAACUGGGGAUGCAAAUGAUGGAUUGCAGCACUACCAAAUAACCAAUGUCACCUGCAAAUCUUUUCUAGCAAAUUGUUAUUGGCACUCUGAAAAAAAAGUCAUAAUGUACUGCUCUUGUGUGAAAACAUAUGGAGAAAAUUCGAUUGCAAGGAGUGUAGGAUGACUAUUUUGGAGUGCCAAUAACAUAUCCUUUUCUUCUUCUUUUUUUGGAUAUACUGUAUUUUUUUCUCCUUAAUUACCGUCAUUUAGGGAAAAUUUGCUAUCAUGCCAUAUUAUCGUUGGUCAAUGAUUUUUAUAUGUUAGAAUUCAUCUCAUUGUUGGCAUGGCCUCUGUCUUGUGGUGAGUGAUUGUUGUUGUGAACUAUAAUUAGAUGACCUAGGUCGGUGUGACCCAGAUUGAUUCCAACCUUACCAAAAAUGUGUUUAGACUGUCUAAUCACUAUGUGUCAUCCUUUUGUUAUUUAGAUAUCCGGAUCGCAGGUAUUUUGAUUUAUCGCCAAUUUGCUUAAUUUGAAUGACGAAAGAUUCUACCAUUGGCUUCAUUUCCAACAAAAGCAGAGAUUCCGACUUCAAAGAUAGUAAAUCAAAACUGCAAACUGGAAGCUGGCAGUAAAACAAAACUGUAAGCAAAAACACACCAUCAAUUGGCUUUAUUUCAAACACAAGCAAAUACAAACAGAGUUUCCAACUUUACAGGAGGACAGUGCAAACUGGAAGCUGGCUGGCUUACUGCUGCGGCUUCUUGUAAGACAGAAUGGAGAGAACUGUUUGUAUCAAGGUCAAUGUUGUAACAAAGACGACAGCAGUCGCAAAAUUCGCCAAUUCCAAUGGAUUUUUAAAAUAUGUACGUAACUGGCUUUGAUACCGAUGCCAUAUAGUAUCACAAUACGCGUUCACAUCCCGAUAGAGUCUCCAGUAACAACAAUUGCGCGGCCUAACAUCAUUGGAAAGACUUCUAAAAAUCAAGGAUAUGUCGUAGCCCAAAUGGUUUUCUAUAAUUCGACACUUAGCGAGACACUCUACAUCUUUGUCAGACGUAAUAAGUUGCUCCAACAACGCAGCAUAAGAGGUAAUUUUACUGGCUGUUUCACACUGUUCAUACGCCACGAGAUUUCUAAACAGAGAUUCUCCAUUCUUAUGAACUCUUAUCCGUGGAAUUCUCAUCACUCCAUUUUUGAAGGUUAUAUCGAACAUGUCCUCUCCAAUUCCACAUUCAAAUAUAAUUCCUAACUUUUCAAGUUCUGUCACAGAGGGCAUACGCAAAGAAGAAGUCCGAUCUAAGUGUUGUGCACGUGAUGGUUGUGCACGUGAUGAGAGCAAAGAGUUUUUUACCAAGUCAAGCAAAUGCUUGCCUUCCAAUGCUUCACGGACGCGUUGCCAGUCCCACAUCCUCAAGGUGUACCCGUCAAAGUAUUCUAGAGUAAGCUCGGAAAGUGAAUACUUCGUACGGGCAUUACUUUCCCGUGUGAGGUCAAACAAACGGUCAAUAACUUUCCAAGGAAGCUGGUUUUCAAGUAGAAGCAAGUCAUUUAUGAGGAUCGGUUGCAUCCAUGCCCUAUGGAACACAGGGUCGUCGUCCUUGAUUGGCACCUUUCCUGAAACUUGCGGAAGAGCUCAAUGAUAAAGCAACCAUCGACCACCAUCAUUUCUACAAACUCAUCACUGGUUAAAUCAAUAUUUUCUUCAUAGCAAUCGCGACAAUAUUGUUCCAUAUCUCUAAUGGCUCCGACAAAAUCCUCUAAGACAGUAGUUGGAGUUGGUUUUCGCUCAAGAAGGCAAUGCAAAUACCAAGAUUUAAUCACUUCCAUGGCUUGGAACUGCAAUCCACGCUGAAAUGGUCCAAUUGAAAGUAAAUGUGGAACAUACACUUCUUCUUUACCCUUAAGCAGCACAUGAGGGAUUCUAAAUAUGCAAUGAUGAGCUCGUGAUGGAGACUGCUGGUGAAGUUUCGCUUGAAUUGAGGAUGCUAAUAUUUCAUUUUCAUGUCUCACAUUAUUUGCAGCCAUCCUAGUAAGGGAAAAUGGAAAUUGUUACAAGCCAAAUGUAAUAAAACUUGUUUGAAACACUAACUCUCAGACCUAAAAAAAUAUUUAAAAAAAACUAACUCGGGUUAAACAUUUUAUUAGUCUCUGAACUUAGACUCGAUUUGCAUUUGAGUUCCACAAUUUUCAAAAUCGUUCCUGUGGUCCUUCAACUUUAGAUUCGUUAUGACAAAUGGUCCUGCCAUCAAUUUUGUUAACUUUUCUGUUGAAUGCAGGGGCAAAAUGGUAUUUUUAUAUUAAAUUGAUUAAAAUAUGAAUAAAAAAUUUAAAAACUAAAAAUUAAAAAUUAAACUCUCUCUCUCUCCCUCUCUAUCCCGAUUUGUACUCCCCCCAAACUUAACUUUUUUUUUGGUUGGUUUUAUUUUUAUUUUUAAUUGUUAUUUUAAAGAUAUGAUUUUUUAUUCAAUUUUUUGGUUUUAACAUAAAAAUACCAUUUUACCCUUGCAUUUAACAGAAAAAGUUAACAAAAUUGAAGGUUCUUUGUCCUAAUGAAAGUGAAGUUAAAGGACCACGGGAACGAUUUUGGAAAUUUAGAGACUCAAAUACAAAUCGGGUCUAAGUUUAAGGACUAAUAAAACAAUUAACCCCACUAACUCUAAUAUGUUUUUUUUUUUUUUUCCGUCAAAGUAACUAUAUUUCAAAGAGUGCAUAGCGGCCACAGCACUCGCAGCACAACAGCAACACCAGCCACAGUGGGCUUUAGGUAACGCUGUUUUGAUACUACUUUUUAGCUACAGAAUUGGGAUAUUUUUUUUGUCAAGAAAGAAACCCCUUGAGUUUCGAACUUGGGUGCAAUGGGGGGAGGGGGGAAUCCACCACCAUUGUGGUGGAUAUUGGGAUCUUUGCUAGAAUGCCAGUUAUAGUUUUUUAGAAUUUUUAUCAGCAAAUCGGAUGUAUUUACAAAAUAAAUUGGUUUCAAGUAUAAAUUAAUGCAAGUUUUUGAAUGGAUAGAGAUGAAGAUUGAGAGAUAACUUACACUUCUGAUUCACUUACGGUGAGAGGUAGCUUGCACACUUCUGAUUCACUUUUGAAGCAAUUGUUCUCCUAUCAAUAUUGCUAAAAUGAGAGUGUGAGAAGAAAGGUUUUUGGUUUCAAUUGAAUUGAUUUCUUUGUAUCACUUACAGCAUAAUUUAUACAAGGAAAAGGCUUGCUAACGAAGCCCAAUAUUAAUUACAAGUGGGUAGAUGACAGCUGGUUUUGGGUUCCCAAUUCCUGGAGAUUGCAGCAACAGCCUCCCAAAGUCAAGCCAGACAACUAGCUAACAAUCAACUAGCUAACAAUCAACUAGCCAUAUUAGGUUUGACCCAAAAAAAAAAAAAAAAAAAAACACUAGCCAUAUUAGACAAUAAAAAGGCAAUACACAUGCAAUACAACGGCAAUAAAUUCAAUGGAUAAACCCACACCACAGUGAAGGAUAAAAGCCCCGCGGUGAAGGACAUAAAAGUUUGAUGGUUAAAAAGUGCAUUCAAUUCUGCAUUUGGUUGUGUUACUCUGAACUUUUAAAGUAGUUCUUAUAAUUUUAUUUUGUUCACAUGCAGGCUUUUCAUGUGUUUCAUACUUCCUGCCUUAUACACUGGAUACUUCUGUGUGAGGUUGAGAUUGCAAAUCAGUCAGCUAAUUCAAAAGUGAGAAGAAGAUCUAGGAGGAAAAAUGCAGCCAAGUGCAAUGGACAAGAUGGCCAGAUGAAAGCUUUGAGCACGCAAAUCCAUUCUGUAUUCUGCCAAGAGUGCCAGGGUACUGGUGCAAUCAUUGAUGGAGAUGACCUGGAGAAACCAAAUCUCCCUCUGUCUCAGGUUUGUACUUUGCAGGACAAUUUCUUAAUUGAAUCGUUGUCUUAUUAUUUAUACAUUUCCUUGCCUUUUUUCUUUUUCCUUAUUGGCCUUUUGUGUUGACUGAAGUAGUGGUUUCCCAAUUUGGGAGAAAAACAAUCAAGCACACGUUUUUAUUAUCAAUUUUUG